ensembl:lncRNA
CUUUUAAGUCAGGAAGGUGCUUCCAAACAUAUCAGAACUUACUUCUCUGUUUCUACACACACACACACACACACCCCGCACACCCAACCACAGAACUAAAUGCACUGAACCAAGUGACAGAAUCAGGAUCUUACUGGAAAGAUGUAACUGCCCUGCAACCACACAACUGCAUUUGCAAAGGAGUAGAUUGGAAACCAGGAGAAGAAAACCAUCCAUGCAGACAUCAGUUUCCCGUUUCUCCCAGGUGAAGUUUUUAACCACGGAAAACUAGCUUUUCCGGACCAGUGUAUACUGGAAAACUUUUUUUUUUUAAGUGGGUCAAAUUUUCGUUGAGUUCCCUCCCUUUUUUUUUUUUUUNUUUCCCGCUUUCUCUUCCUUUGUCCCCGUCUCCCCUCUGACUGCACCCAGUCACGGCGGUCGGGCGGGCGUUUGGAGGACUGGGUACCCUGCCCUGGUCCGGUCGUAGUGGCGGGGACUCGGCGCCGAGCUGCUUUUCCACGCGCAAGUUUCCACUCUGGCUGCGCCAGAAAGCGGGGAGCCGCCCCGGGAGACCGACACCUGCUGGGGAAGGCGCGCUGCGAGCUGCCCCCAGUGACCUCCCCACGGUGCGCUUCAGCAGCUACUUUCUUUUUCAGUCUUUGUUGCACGGGAGGGGAGGGGUUCCGAGGAGAAGUCGAAGGCAUCUGGGAGAGGCGCUGCAAGGGAUCCUCCGGGCCAUGAGAGAGAGAGAGAUCCGGAGGCACAGGCAGAGCCCGGGCAGAGCUGAUUGAGCGCUGGGGCGCAGAGCGGGGAAUCCGGUUUGCUGUGCGCCCCGCCCCGCCUGUUGAGCCAGGAGACCGGACUUAAGCGCCGCGGCCUCGCGGGCGGUGGGUGCACCUGCGCAGGGACCCGCAGGUGCCACGGCAGGGUCUCCUCUCCCGCCCCCGAAGCCCACUCUUUGUGCGCUCUCGGUGCGGCUGUGCGAGGCGCGCCCCGGAGCUGCCGGCGAUCCGGGAACGAAGCCCCGAGGUCCGGGAAGCCACCGAGUAAGUGGUCGCCGUGUCCCCGCCCCGGGUCGUGUCUCCCGGGUGAGCGCCCCCAGUCCUGGGCCGGUCCUCCUCCCUCCCCGCACCGGAAGCCUUCUUGCGCUCCCAGCUGCCCAGCCCCGGGGGCCGGGCCCGGUUCCCACGCCGGGGAGGAGCGAGGGAGCAAAGCAGACGGCGCCCGGGGCAGCUCACGGCCCGGGGGCCCCGCGGCGGCCGAGGGCGGAGGGCUGGCCGCGCUGGCGUCUGCGCUCGCGGGGCGCGAGCGUGAGGACGCGGGGGCGCCCGCGCGCUGCUCUCCCACGGCCGGGGCGCGGGCAGCAUCGCCUCCUCGGGAAGUCGGGGCGCCGGGGUCGCCUGGACCUCAGAGCCCGCGGGGACUGAGGCCGCUCCGGCUCCUCCGCAACUUCGUGCCGCCGGCGGCUGCUUGGAUUCCACAUAUAAGUGAUAUGUGAAAUGUUAGACUUUAGCCUGGACGAUUGAAGUUCCAUCAGCUAAGGAGGUUUUUAUGUUCUUGUUCGCUUUCUAAGGUAAACUUAUAAACCGUAUCUUUAAGAUAAACUAAUCCAACUGUAUAAACCUGAUUAUUUAGAAACUCAUCUCAUUAGGUAAUGAG